AUAUGCUUUGACCUGAAUCCUGGGAUGAAAAGUGUUCGAAAGCUUUGCAAGAGCAAGUCAUCUGCUUCAUUCUGCAGCUGAAACAUGUACUUCCCUUCUUCAUAGCUACUUCCAAAGGCUGUUCUAGAAAUGACAUCUGCACUGAAAGAGAAUGAUGGCAGCAUUCCCUGUAUGAAUAAACCAAUUGGGGAACUUAUAACAUGAUUAAAUAUGGUUGUGGAGUCUGAAAAAAUUGUUGGGCAACUUUUUUCUUACUGUAAGCGGGUGCUAGAAAAUGAAUAUACUUUGAUGAGUAGGGUGGUAGAACCAGAAAUCAUUCAUUUCAA